CUACUUAACCACUCAACGUUCCCUCUUACACGGAACGAACACGGAACGAACACGCGAAUGGAAUGAAAUGAGAACGAACGAGUUAAAUCAGUCAGAAUCGUGUAUCUCCACUCAUUUCGUUUAUUAAAGUCAACUCGUGUUUUUCCGCUCAAAGUCGUGUGUGAACGAAACGAACGAAACGAUCAAUAUAUUCCGUGUAAACAAACAUUGUUUCGUUCAGAAACGAUACUAUUUCACCUGAUUGGUUGUUUGGCGAUUAUGCUAGUUUUCAAAUUUCCAAAUGAAACGAAUAAAUAUACCAAAGUUAAUCGGUAUAUUGUACUACUCAUUGUUUAUUUAUGAAUAGAAUUCAUUACAUUACUUC
rnacentral:lncRNA from 1 species